AGCAGCCGCGGUAAUUCCAGCUCCAAUAGCGUAUAUUAAAGUUGUUGCAGUUAAAAAGCUCGUAGUUGAAUUUCGGGGUUAGUAGGUUGGUCAUGCCUCUGGUAUGUACUGGUCUCACUGAUUCCUCCUUCCUGAUGAACCUUAAUGCCAUUAAUUUGGUGUUUUGGGGAAUUUGGACUGUUACUUUGAAAAAAUUAGAGUGUUUAAAGCAAGCUAACGCUUGAAUACAUUAGCAUGGAAUAAUGAAAUAGGACGUUCGAUCCUAUUUUGUUGGUUUCUAGGAUUGACGUAAUGAUUAAUAGGGAUAGUUGGGGGCAUUAGUAUUCAAUUGUCAGAGGUGAAAUUCUUGGAUUUAUUGAAGACUAACUACUGCGAAAGCAUUUGCCAAGGAUGUUUUCAUUAAUCAAGAACGAAAGUUAGGGGAUCGAAGACGAUCAGAUACCGUCGUAGUCUUAACCAUAAACUAUGCCGACUAGGGAUCGGAUGAUGUUAAUUUUUUAAUGACUCAUUUGGCGCCUUACG
rnacentral:rRNA from 1 species